UGGGGAAUAUUGCACAAUGGGCGGAAGCCUGAUUCAGCGACGCCGCGUGGGGGAUGAAGGCCUUCGGGUUGUAAACUCCUUUCGACAGGGACGAAGCUUUUGUGACGGUACCUGUAUAAGAAGCACCGGCUAACUACGUGCCAGCAGCCGCGGUAAUACGUAGGGUGCGAGCGUUGUCCGGAAUUACUGGGCGUAAAGAGCUCGUAGGUGGUUUGUCGCGUCGUCUGUGAAAUUCCGGGGCUUAACUCCGGGCGUGCAGGCGAUACGGGCUGACUUGAGUGCUGUAGGGGAGACUGGAAUUCCUGGUGUAGCGGUGAAAUGCGCAGAUAUCAGGAGGAACACCGAUGGCGAAGGCAGGUCUCUGGGCAGUAACUGACGCUGAGGAGCGAAAGCAUGGGUAGCGAACAGG
rnacentral:rRNA from 1 species